CUUGUCUUCAGUGCUGCUUCCGUGGAAUAUGCAGCUUGAAACAACAAGAAAAAGGACUGUUGUUUGCAGCCUCUAGACGUCCCUGCUGCCUCAAAAUGGGCUCAAGUGUUGGAGGUAACCUCACUUGCCUGGGCACAAGGUUUGAUCAUCUUUUAUGAAUACUGC